rnacentral:rRNA from 1 species
AUAUUGGACAAUGGGCGAAAGCCUGAUCCAGCCAUGCCGCGUGAGUGAUGAAGGCCUUAGGGUUGUAAAGCUCUUUCAUCAGGGAAGAUAAUGACGGUACCUGAAGAAGAAGCCCCGGCUAACUUCGUGCCAGCAGCCGCGGUAAUACGAAGGGGGCUAGCGUUGUUCGGAAUUACUGGGCGUAAAGCCCACGUAGGCGGACUGACAAGUCGGGGGUGAAAUCCUGAGGCUCAACCUCAGAACUGCCCUCGAUACUGUCAGCCUUGAGGUCGGGAGAGGUGAGUGGAACUGCGAGUGUAGAGGUGAAAUUCGUAGAUAUUCGCAAGAACACCAGUGGCGAAGGCGGCUCACUGGCCCGAAUCUGACGCUGAGGUGCGAAAGCGUGGGGAGCAAACAGG